UAUAAUGGGUCAGCGACUUAUAUUCUGUAGCAAGGUUAACCGUAUAGGGGAGCCGUAGGGAAACCGAGUCUUAACCGGGCGUUAAGUUGCAGGGUAUAGACCCGAAACCCGGUGAUCUAGCCAUGGGCAGGUUGAAGGUUGGGUAACACUAACUGGAGGACCGAACCGACUAAUGUUGAAAAAUUAGCGGAUGACCUGUGGCUGGGGGUGAAAGGCCAAUCAAACCGGGAGAUAGCUGGUUCUCCCCGAAAGCUAUUUAGGUAGCGCCUCGUGAAUUCAUCUCCGGGGGUAGAGCACUGUUUCGGCUAGGGGGCCAUCCCGGCUUACCAACCCGAUGCAAACUGCGAAUACCGGAGAAUGUUAUCACGGGAGACACACGGCGGGUGCUAACGUCCGUCGUGAAGAGGGAAACAACCCAGACCGCCAGCUAAGGUCCCAAAGUCAUGGUUAAGUGGGAAACGAUGUGGGAAGGCCCAGACAGCCAGGAUGUUGGCUUAGAAGCAGCCAUCAUUUAAAGAAAGCGUAAUAGCUCACUGGUCGAGUCGGCCUGCGCGGAAGAUGUAACGGGGCUAAACCAUGCACCGAAGCUGCGGCAGCGAACGUAUCACCCAAGACAACUUUACGGAGUUGACGAUUGACGGAGCGAAGCGACGUCAAAGCGUUCAUUAAAGUCGAGUUGGCUUAGGGAUACGUUCGUUGGGUAGGGGAGCGUUCUGUAAGCCUGUGAAGGUGUGUCGUGAGGCAUGCUGGAGGUAUCAGAAGUGCGAAUGCUGACAUAAGUAACGAUAAAGCGGGUGAAAAGCCCGCUCGCCGGAAGACCAAGGGUUCCUGUCCAACGUUAAUCGGGGCAGGGUGAGUCGACCCCUAAGGCGAGGCCGAAAGGCGUAGUCGAUGGGAAACGGGUUAAUAUUCCCGUACUUGGUGUUACUGCGAAGGGGGGACGGAGAAGGCUAUGUUGGCCGGGCGACGGUUGUCCCGGUUUAAGCGUGUAGGUGUGUGUUCCAGGUAAAUCCGGUU
rnacentral:rRNA from 1 species